rnacentral:lncRNA from 1 species
GGUUCCUAACUUCUCUGAAGUCAAGUUGAGCGUCCACAUCUAAAGCCCCAGGAUGAGCCUCCUGGUGGAGGAGAGUGCUCCUGCCUCUCCUGCCUCUCUUUAUGGAUUGUAUGUCAAGGAGACACCCGCAAGGACUCUGGUGGCCUGGACAUACUUCUGGAAGACUGACUCUUCCAGACUGAUGAAACCAAAGGACUGGACAGUGUUGAAUCCUUGGGGGGAAGAAAAACCAACACUUUUUUUUUAAGCUGACAGCACAUUCCAUCCACUCGGCAAUGUAGAACUAAUGAAGAUAUAAGUGUAAGAAAACCUAUAAUUGAAUCCAGCACGUAGCAAGCAUAGUUGAGCGGCGAGUACACCCAAGCUGAAAUCACAUGUGCUCCUGUCUAAUCCUCUCCGGGCGCCCAGCACAGGGAAAUAUUUCUGGAUUGUGUCUCAGGCUGUGAUUUCUAUCCAAGGCAGAAUAGAAACGGCCUUUUCCCUGGGCAGAGGCUUUGGGCUGUCAGGGGACACCUGAGUUGCCUUUGAUAAGGCUGCCGUUUGGAUGGUGAUUUAAAGAGCAAGUCUAGAAAAAAAUAACCUUGAGAAAGAGGAGUGUUUUGGACUAGAGCCCUU